rfam:Aedes aegypti strain Liverpool supercont1.75 genomic scaffold, whole genome shotgun sequence.
CCUCUUGUGGCGUAGGGGUAACGUUCCCUAACUAGAGAUCAGAGAGUCGUGAGUUCGAUUCUUACUGAGAAGA